GACGAACGCUGGCGGCGUGCUUAACACAUGCAAGUCGAACGGAAAGGCCCUGCUUUUGUGGGGUGCUCGAGUGGCGAACGGGUGAGUAACACGUGAGUAACCUGCCCUUGACUUUGGGAUAACUUCAGGAAACUGGGGCUAAUACCGGAUAGGAGCUCCUGCUGCAUGGUGGGGGUUGGAAAGUUUCGGCGGUUGGGGUUGGACUCGCGGCUUAUCAGCUUGUUGGUGGGGUAGUGGCUUACCAAGGCUUUGACGGGUAGCCGGCCUGAGAGGGUGACCGGCCACAUUGGGACUGAGAUACGGCCCAGACUCCUACGGGAGGCAGCAGUGGGGAAUAUUGCACAAUGGGCGGAAGCCUGAUGCAGCAACGCCGCGUGCGGGAUGACGGCCUUCGGGUUGUAAACCGCUUUCGCCUGUGACGAAGCGUGAGUGGCGGUAAUGGGUAAAGAAGCACCGGCUAACUACGUG
rnacentral:rRNA from 1 species